UACCCCUCAGGGGACUACAGAUGAAAAACAGCCUUUUGGCUUAUUCCUGCAUUUUUAACCCAUGUAUAAUCAUGUGUUGUAUAAAUGUGCACUGUCUCCUUCUUACAUGAACUGAAUUGAAGCAGACAGACACUGACACAGUCCAAGUGGUUGUAUCAACUGCCUUUAUUUAUCGUAUCAACUAUUAACAGGAUGUAGGUGUCAAUUGACUCUUACUUCCUUUUUUAACGGCCAAUCAGAAACAUCCGCCUAGACUUAAAGACUCACUUCCUUUUUAACUUAUUGCUAAAACACUGAACAAGGAAGGUAGGAAAGGCCGUUUGACAAACUUUGUUUUGUCUUCCUGUAGUUGUGUAUCAGCUGCAGAAAUGGCCGAGGAGAGGAAGCGACCCAUGUCCAUGGGGGAGCGGCCCUACUUUGGUGUUGAAAAGACACAAAGUUCAAUGUCGAGGGAGCUGAAUCUGAGUACAGAAAACAAAAGCUUGAAUGAGCGCCUGACUGAUUAUCACCGUGCUCUCAUUGAUCUGAGAGAUUUCGCCAAAGCCAGGGUUAUCGUGAAGAAGUCUUUUCCCAGAAAAAGAUGUUUUUCUUUGUGCACCUGACCAUACAGGAGUUCUUUGCUGCUCUUUUUGUCUAUGACUGUUUCACAAACAAAAAUACAAAAGAGCUCGGCAACUUCCUCAAUCUGAAGGACAAAGAACAUGCCUUACUUGAUCUUCUGAAGUCGCAGUGAAACAACUUGUGAAAAUGGGAGUUCUUUUAAGAGAGGGAUUUAAAUCAAAACGUACAAAUUUGGAUUGCUCAAACGAAAAAUCCAUACAAAGUAUAUAAGCUGUAAAGUAGUUCUGCACCAUGAAGCUGUUAUGAGUGUGUGUGUGUGUGUGUUAGUGAAAGAGAGGAAGUGAACACAAACGCAUUAGCUUGGGUUUCAAACAUGUCUCUACCAUAGACUGUUGCGAAAUUAUGAAUCCUACUGUGGCCACGCCAAGACCCGCCCUACAAUAGCAGCUCGAUUGGUUGGGGUUAGGUUAUGUUACCUUGCGUAACCUUCCGUACGAUAUCAUAAGGAACUGUUUGUGAGAAUGAGUUGACAUUCCUCAUAUUAUCGAUAUAGAUAUGACAGAAAAUACAGAAAAGCAUAAUAUGUCUGCUGUAAAACAACAUUGUGACACAAGCCUCAGAUUUCAAUAUUAGAUUUGACUACGUCGUUAAUAAACGUUCUCAUAAUCUUUGUAUUUUUUGUUUUAACUGUUGUUUUGUUUGUUUAUCUGCAUCACUUUGUUACAUUUCAUAUAUUGUAUUAAAAUCUGAGUUGAAUCAUGUUAAGCACCUUAUUGUAAAAUCCCAAAGUACUGAUGAGUCACUGUGAUGACUGAAUGUUUUGUGGCUGAAAAAUCCAGGUGGACUUAAAUACAGAUUUGAGACAUUUCAGAUGUGUUAAGACUUAGAAAUACAUGUCAAGCACUCAUAUACCGUUAAUUUAUAUUUGGUCUUCAAUGUUACAUGUGAAGAGUUAAUUUGCAAAAGAAAGAUAAAUGCCAUUCUUUAUCAAAACCACCCAACUCCAGUUUGAUAUUUCCUGGAGUGAACACAUAAAAAGAUGAUUUAGUAAGAUUUAUAAAAAUGAAUUCUUCAUGUAUUUAACCCUAAUGUUGAUAUGUUUCAGAUUGUUUCUCAGUGUGACAUGUAACCUGUCAAUAAAAGGAAGGUGUUGACUGAA